rnacentral:lncRNA from 1 species
GAAGUGUGCAUGAGUCUCUUAAUAUCAUAGAAGUUUCAUAUAAAUUGGAACACAUUUCUAUUUUUCACAUUUUUGCUGUUUCCAUGGCAAUGGCAGCCAUUUUUUUAAUUCCAAAGUAAGGUGCAAAACUACACAUGGUGAUUAACAUUAUGUUAUAGUUCCAUCAACAUUGGUCCAUUCAGUUCCGAGAACUAAGCUGGACAAAAAGUGCGGAAUAAGAAUAAGAAAAAAGAAUCGUACAAUAACAAUAUGUCACCCGACCUCCGUCAGGGUGACAUAACUAGAUUUGUAAUUGCUAGCAAUAACGGAUGGCACCCUCGUACCCCCAUUGCCAGGCGAGCGACAGCCAUUUUGUAAAUUCCAAAGUCAAAGAGUGCGUCUACACCUGCAGGUUAUCCUUUUUGCAAAAUUUCAUUUAGUUUGGAGCAUUUUGAAAUUUUGAACAAUUUUGCUGUUUCCAUGGUUACGGCGGCCAUUUUGGAAAUUCCAACUUCAAAAUGCAACUCCGCACAUGACAGUCACUAUUCCUGUAAAGUUUCAUCCAGUUUGCAGCACAUAAUUUUUUUUUGGAAAUUUUGAACAUUUGUGCUGCAACCAUGGUUACAGUAGAUAAUUCCAAAAUUCUAAAAGCAGACAUCUCAUUGCCACAUGUCAUGUUAUAUAUCAAUACAGUUUCAUUAACUUUGGUGCACUACUCUCUGAGAAAAUGCAUAUUUUAUGCAUUUUUCCAUAGGGUCAAUGCAAAACUUGGCCCUAGUUUCCAUGACAACGGCGGCCAUUUUGAACUAUCAAAAUAUUGUCUUGACAUCUUGGCAUACUGGAGAACAUUUUCAUAAAGUUUCAUGUCUCUAGAAUAAAUUUAACAUUGAUGUUCUGGAAUGUUCUGUGAAAAUUCAAAAUUUUUACCUUUUUGCAUUGUUUCCAUGGUAACAACAGAUAUUUUGGAAAUUCCAACGCCAAAUUCCACAUCUUCCAAUGUUGCUCAUCGUUACUGUGAAGUUUCAUUAAGUUUUGAGCAUUUUGAUAUUUUUGAAAUUUUUGGUGUAGUUUCCAUGGCAACAUAGUAGUUCCAAUGAUUGCCAAAAGCAUACCAAAACCAGUAUAUAGUGGGCACCUACAUUGUAUUAAAAUAUAAUGAUUCUAAGUUUAAGCAUAACGUAAUAAUUCACCAAAACCAAAAUCUAGAUUUUUUCACAAUUGUGCAGUUUCCAUGGAAACGGCGGCCAUUAAAAAAAAUUCCAGAGUCAGAUGCACAACUUCACAUGGGUGUCCUCAUUAUGUUAUAGUGCCAACAUUAUUGGAUCACUCAAUUCUUAGAAACACGAUGGACAAAAUGUGUGGAAGAAUAAUAAAAAUAAGAAAAAAAAGAAACGUAGAAUAACAAUACGUCACCCCAACUCCGUUGAGGGUGCCAUAACUAGAAUU